CCUGGUUGUGUGUGGAUUUAGAUGUGUAAGUGACAGGAAGAGUGUGCCGAGAGCAUUGAGGAAGAAAGGUUUAAUUCCAUCUGGAUGAGUCGAUAUUUGCUGGGGUCCUGAGCCCAGGCACUGAAUUCUGACUUCACUGCUUUCUAGUCAUCUGACUGGGGCAAGUUUCUGAACCUAUCUGAGCCCCAGUUUCAACACCUAUACUAUAUAGGAAGAAUAAUGGGACCCACAUCAUGGAUUUUUUUUUUUUUUCCCCGUGGUGAUUCAAUGGAAUGCACCAUAGCAAGCACUCAAUGUGUGUGGGUGGUGAUGAUGAUGAUGAUGCUGGGGGAGGUGGAGUGAGGAUGAAGGCAAAGAGGUGGAGAAGGCGUCACAGAGAUUAUAGGGUCAGGAAUUCAGUGGGUAAAGGAGGAAGAUGUGGAAGAGUGAAGAACAUUCCAGCUGGGGCCCCGUGCUGUGUUUUAACAAGCCCCCAGGUGAUUCUGAGGCACAGUGAAGUUCAAGAACCACUGAGCCGUGAGUCAGCCAAGCAAUCUGUGCCGUCGGACCUGAGUUGGAUGCGGACCCCGGCACUUAGGAGCAUCCGAUGAUGUCACAGGAAGGCACCAUUGUCCACGUGCUUUGAACUCGGAGGAACACUGAUGCCCGAUAGGCAUGCCUGCAUGCUGAGUUGCUUCAGUCAUGUCUGACUCUGUGACCACGUGAACUGUAGCCUUCAGGCUCUGCUAUUCAUGGGAUUCUCCAGGCAAGGAUACUGGAGUGGGUUGCCAUGCCCUUCUCCAGGGGAUCUUUCCAACCCAGAGAUAGAAUCGACAUCAGAUCAGUGAUCCUAACAGCUCCAUGGCAUCCGACAUCAAGACAAGCAGAAAUGACCGGAGGAGAGGAGGGUCAAGUCAUCGGAAGUCUCUCAAGGCCCUGAGAACAGCUGGACAGGAUCACAAACCCCCUGAGUGCCUGCCGCCCCCCUCUCCCCCGCCUCCAUGCCCUGCAGUCCCUCAGACCACUCCCUAGCACAUUUCUGACCUGGUCACGUUUAACUCUUGAGUUGAUCUUGCCAUUGCCAGCACGGAACGUUCCAUCCAGAAUAACCCACAGCAGUUCAUGGAAAAGCUGUGGACAAACAAGGCUGAAUAAAGACAUUUCCUCCUGUGCGUCUGGCAGGUUUUCUCGAGCCUUUUGCCAGGGUUCAUUUCCACCUUUUCUGGAUGACUAGGGCUGGAGGAUAAUGUGGGAUCAGGGACACAGGGAGCUUACCCGGUAAGAGAUUAAUUUUAGUUGCGCAAAGCUGUUUGAAUGAAACUUCAGGUACAUUGAUGAUACGUGUGGGCUCUGAUCCAGUGUGCAAGGCAAUAGGAUGAAGUUUUAACCUAACAUUAAUGUUUAAACUCUCUUUUGGGACCUCUGUUAUAUGUAAGUCCAGCACCAAUAUGAUAAAAGAGGAAAAAAGAAUUAUUCAGAGUUAAAUAUAAGAUGACAAUUGAGAAAAAGAAAACACAUUUCUCACAUACCCUCUGGUACCCUUUUCUUCCCAUUAGCAUUUUCCUUGCUGCAACUCCACAAAGACAAAUAGAUGGCUGGAGCUAAAACAUUAUUUGGUGGUGGUGGGAAUACAGCAAGCGGGAGGGUAUGGGGAGGGGGGUGAGGGAUGGAGAGCUAAGUUUUCUCCUGAUGAUAAAAAUAGUAAAAUCUUGCUGUUGAAAUCUAAAAAGUACCAAAAAAUGUAACAGGAGGUAAAAAAUAAACUACCCAUAAUGUUA